rnacentral:rRNA from 1 species
UACGUAGGGGGCAAGCGUUAUCCGGAUUUACUGGGUGUAAAGGGAGCGCAGACGGCAGUGCAAGUCUGGAGUGAAAGCCCGGGGCCCAACCCCGGAACUGCUCUGGAAACUGUGCGGCUAGAGUACUGGAGGGGCAGGCGGAAUUCCUAGUGUAGCGGUGAAAUGCGUAGAUAUUAGGAGGAACACCAGUGGCGAAGGCGGCCUGCUGGACAGUAACUGACGUUGAGGCUCGAAAGCGUGGGUAGCGAACAGG